CCGUUGCCCUUCUCAAUAGGGUGGAUCUGAGAAAGGAGGUGUGUGCUGUAGCGGCGGCUGGCCAUUCCAACGGCACCAACCUCCUCACCGGCCUGGCUCUGGGGACGAAUGCACAUGCCAUGUGGGUGGGCAGGUCCGUCACCCUCCUCAAUGUCAUGGAUCUCUGAAAGGAGGCGCGCCCUGCGACGAUGGCCGGCCAUUGCAGCAACCUCCUCACUUGGGUGGAUCUGUGGACUGAAGGGCGUGCCGCAUGGGUGGGCCAAUCCGUUGCUUUCUUUGAUGUCAUGGAUCUGAGAAAGGAGGCGCGCGUUGCAGCGGCGACUCACCACCCCGACGGCACCAAGACCGAGAUGAAGCAGGAAGGCACGGGGAAAGGGGAAUGUGGUAUCUUUCCUGAC
rnacentral:lncRNA from 1 species